rnacentral:rRNA from 1 species
UGGGGAAUUUUGGACAAUGGGGGAAACCCUGAUCCAGCCAUCCCGCGUGUGCGAUGAAGGCCUUCGGGUUGUAAAGCACUUUUGGCAGGAAAGAAACGUCAUGGGUUAAUACCCCGUGAAACUGACGGUACCUGCAGAGUAAGCACCGGCUAACUACGUGCCAGCAGCCGCGGUAAUACGUAGGGUGCAAGCGUUAAUCGGAAUUACUGGGCGUAAAGCGUGCGCAGGCGGUUCGGAAAGAAAGAUGUGAAAUCCCAGAGCUCAACUUUGGAACUGCAUUUUUAACUACCGGGCUAGAGUGUGUCAGAGGGAGGUGGAAUUCCGCGUGUAGCAGUGAAAUGCGUAGAUAUGCGGAGGAACACCGAUGGCGAAGGCAGCCUCCUGGGAUAACACUGACGCUCAUGCACGAAAGCGUGGGGAGCAAACAGG